rnacentral:rRNA from 1 species
UACGGGGGGGGCAAGCGUUGUUCGGAAUUACUGGGCGUAAAGGGCUCGUAGGCGGCCAACUAAGUCAGACGUGAAAUCCCCAGGCUCAACCUGGGAACUGCGUCUGAUACUGGAUGGCUUGAAUUCGGGAGAGGGAUGCAGAAUUCCAGGUGUAGCGGUGAAAUGCGUAGAUAUCUGGAGGAAUACCGGUGGCGAAGGCGGCAUCCUGGACCGACAUUGACGCUGAUGAGCGAAAGCUAGGGGAGCAAACGGGG